rnacentral:lncRNA from 1 species
CUACAUUUUUCGUUUACUCAAAACAGCUAAAAUUCACAACAAGAUUUAAAAUUUGUACUUGAACAAGGCAUGCCAUCCACCUGUAAACCUGUAAACGUUUCGUUGGGAUACACCAAAUGGUUCAGGAGAUAUUGACUGCGGCCACUCCCCCCCCCCCCCAUCCUGCAAGACCAAAAAUAGCCCAGGCUGAAUGGAUAGGGUUAGAGAAAAAUAAAUAGUUGAAAUAACAAUCUAAUGAAAAGUUUAUUAAACUUUAUUUCGAUAUUUAACAUAUUUAAUUCAAAACUUCAACAGAGUAGCGUAACACUUUUAACUGGGAAUUGUUUUAAGGGAAUGCUGGUGAUUCGUUGAGUUAUCACAACGGAAUGAAGUUCACCACCAAGGACAGAGACAAUGAUCAAUCGGCAAGUAACUGUGCUGUGGUGUACAAAAGUGCUUGGUGGUAUAACAGCUGUCACUACUCCAACCUCAAUGGGCAGUACCUCACGAAAGAUCAGAGAGCAUCCCGGGGCAUUAACUGGCGACGUUGGAAAAAUGACUAUAGAUCUAUGAAGAAAACAGAGAUGAAAACACGACCUGCACAAUUUUAGAAAUUUCGAGAUCACGUUUUCUGAUUAAUUAUGAACUAAAUGUACUCAAAGUAUAAUCUAUCCUUUCUCUAAUCAUGCGACCCGGCCUCGUCUCUCAUAUUUGUUGGCAAACAGUGCAACAGCAAACGAUUACAACAAGCGAAGCAGUGACUAUACAGUAAUAAAAUAAUAAUUGUACCGAGAGUGCGCACAAUGAUUCGUGCCAAAGCACAUGUUUUCGCUCGUGUUUCGUAUUUCGUUUCUCAGUUUAACAAAUGGAUAUUAGAGGUUUUUAAAUCUUACACAUACUUCCGGGGUCAGGCUUUAUACAAUUUGUGAGCCAGUUAGUCUAAUAACCUUCGAAUAACAAAAAGCUUCAAUCAAACUUUUCAACGGCUUGAUGCUUGUGAUGUUACUAUGAAUGUAUAUCCACACCGGGCAAGCUAGCCCAACGGCUUGUUUUGAAAUAAAGUUGAACGGUCAUUAACAAACACAUAUAAUUCAACCAAAACAUGGGUUUAGCAUUCCACUUAGGGUUAAUAGUGCUAAUGCCGUAAUGGGAGUAACGAGUUUAAUUAAUUAAAAAACAGGCCCGGAAGUACAUAUUUUACGGUUAUCGUAAACUGUAGAUUGUCAUAUGACUCAUAUCUGUAUUAUUUUAUCAGUCGGUUUCGUAAAACCACUGUAUAUGCUAAAAAAAAGAAGUUUAGUGCGGUCUCAGUUUGAAGAGAACAAGCGCCGACGUUUCGAUUCGUUUUUCCCCCCGGAAAAGAACGCUGACGGGGAAAUUAGAAUUUAAAAAAAAAUUUAAAGAAUUUAAAAACCGCGGCAAAAUACCCGCUAAAAAACCCGCGACUUUCGUUAAUAACCCGCGACUAAAACCCGCGACAAUUAGAUUAGUGAGAGUUAAAGCCCGAGUGCCGAGGCUGUUAAGGCGGAUUUCCAUUCAGUGGAAAAAGUCGCGCGAUCGACUUUUUGCGAUCACUUUCUUUUGAAAUACAAGCAAUCAAGGGCAACGGGUGAGGUUGACUGAACG